UAACAUCAAACUCAGAUGUUGAACGUAAAGGAUAACGUUGCGUCAGCAACGGCCCGUAGGGCGAGGCGAAGCCGAGUCAUCCUGCACGACCCACCA
rnacentral:sRNA from 3 species